AUGCGCGUGCAGUGCGACGUGUGCGGCCUCGAGCCGGCCGCCGUGCUCUGCUGCGCCGACGAGGCCGCGCUCUGCUCCCCCUGCAACCGCCGCGUCCACCGCGCCAACAAGCUCGCCGGCAAGCACCGCCGCCUCACCCUCCUCCAGCCCUCCCCGGCCGCCAACGACGCCGCCGCGCCGCUCUGCGACGUCUGCAAGGAGCGGAGGGGGCUCGUGUUCUGCGUGGAGGACCGGGCGAUCCUGUGCGCCGACUGCGACGAGCCCAUCCACAGCGCCAACGACCUCACGGCCAAGCACAGCCGCUUCCUCCUCGUCGGGGCCAAGCUGUCCGCCGACCCCGUGGACCAGGAGAUCCCCUCCCCGGACGGAAGCUCCGUCGAGCAGGACGACUGCUCGGCCUCGGCCGCCGAGGAAGCCCCUGCAGUUCACGACGCCAGCCACGCCGGUGGAGGAGGAGGAGGAGGAGGAGGAAGCAGCAUUUCAGACUACCUCACCAACAUCUGCCCCGGCUUUGAAGUCGACGAACUCCUCUUCGACGACGCCGCCUUCGUCGCCAAGCAGAAGGGGCGCGACGAGCAGGUGCCGUUCAUGGACGCCGACCUCUUCGACGUGGUCGCCGCCGAGCGCCCGGGGAAGCGCGGCGCAUGGGCGCCCCACGUGCCGCAUACGCCGGCGCCGGCCUGGGGCCUGGAGGAGUUUCCGGCCGCUAUGGUGGCCCCGGCGGCGGCGGCGAAGGCCAAGCAGGGGCACGUGCGGGAGUGGUACCACAGCGACAGCGACAGCGACGUGUUCGCCGUGCCGGAGAUCACGUCGCCGCCGGCCAAGCGGGCGCGGCCGUCGUCGUUCUGGUGCCUGUGA
rnacentral:rRNA from 1 species